GGUUGUGUCGCCGAGCGGUCCAAGGUGCUGGAUAUAGGCUUCUGAGGAGUGGGUUCAAAUCCCACCACUGCCA